rnacentral:rRNA from 1 species
UACAGAGGUCUCAAGCGUUGUUCGGAUUCAUUGGGCGUAAAGGGUGUGUAGGUGGCGCGCUAAGUCGGGUGUGAAAUUUCGGAGCUUAACUCCGAAACUGCAUUCGAUACUGGCGUGCUUGAGGACUGGAGAGGAGACUGGAAUUCAUGGUGUAGCAGUGAAAUGCGUAGAGAUCAUGAGGAAGACCAGUGGCGAAGGCGGGUCUCUGGACAGUUCCUGACACUGAGGCGCGAAAGCUAGGGGAGCGAACGGG